GAUGAAGAACGUAGCGAAAUGCGAUAAGUAAUGUGAAUUGCAGAAUUCAGUGAAUCAUCGAAUGUUUGAACGCACAUUGCGCCCGCCAGUAUUCUGGCGGGCAUGCCUGUUCGAGCGUCAUUUCAACCAUCAAGCCCCCGGCUUGUGUUGGGGACCUGCGGCUGCCGCAGGCCCUGAAAAGCAGUGGCGGGCUCGCUGUCACACCGAGCGUAGUAGCAUACAUCUCGCUCUGGGCGUGCUGCGGGUUCCGGCCGUUAAACCACCUUCAUAACCCAAGGUUGACCUCGGAUCAGGUAGGAAGACCCGCUGAACUUAAGCAUAUCAAUAAGCGGAGGA
rnacentral:misc_RNA from 1 species